rnacentral:lncRNA from 1 species
UUGGUGACAGUUGAUCCAUUGUAGGAGUAGGAUGUGCAUCAAGAUGGGAUCUAUCAAUCUUGAUAGAGAGGAGUAGUCCUAUGGGAUUUGAAAGGCUAAGUCCAAGAAUUUAUGACCAUAAUAGUGUGAUUGAUGGAAAAGAGUUUUCAUAGAAAUCACGUUUGGACUGGAGCUAAUCAAAUCUAUCAUAUGACUGAUGUUGAGAUUUAAUGAUUUAUUCAUAACCUGCCA